AACGAACGCUGGCGGCAUGCCUAACACAUGCAAGUCGAACGAGACCUUCGGGUCUAGUGGCGCACGGGUGCGUAACGCGUGGGAACCUGCCCUUAGGUUCGGAAUAACUCCCCGACAGGGGUGCUAAUACCGGAUAAUGUCUUCGGACCCAAGAUUUAUCGUCUUUGGAUGGGCCCGCGUUGGUUUAGCUUGUUGGGAUGGUAAAAGCCUACCAAGGCGACGAUCCAUAGCUGGUCUGAGAGGAUGAUCAGCCACACUGGGACUGAGACACGGCCCAGACUCCUACGGGAGGCAGCAGUGGGGAAUAUUGGACAAUGGGCGAAAGCCUGAUCCAGCAAUGCCGCGUGAGUGAUGAAGGCCUUAGGGUUGUAAAGCUCUUUUACCCGGGAUGAUAAUGACAGUACCGGGAGAAUAAGCACCGGCUAACUCCGUG
rnacentral:rRNA from 1 species